AUUGAACGCUGGCGGCAGGCUUAACACAUGCAAGUCGAGUGGAGAUGAGGUGCUUGCACCUUAUCUUAGCGGCGGACGGGUGAGUAAUGCUUAGGAAUCUGCCUCUUAGUGGGGGACAACAUUCCGAAAGGAAUGCUAAUACCGCAUACGUCCUACGGGAGAAAGCAGGGGAUGUUCGGACCUUGCGCUAAUAGAUGAGCCUAAGUCGGAUUAGCUAGUUGGUGGGGUAAAGGCCUACCAAGGCGACGAUCUGUAGCGGGUCUGAGAGGAUGAUCCGCCACACUGGGACUGAGACACGGCCCAGACUCCUACGGGAGGCAGCAGUGGGGAAUAUUGGACAAUGGGGGGAACCCUGAUCCAGCCAUGCCGCGUGUGUGAAGAAGGCCUUAUGGUUGUAAAGCACUUUAAGCGAGGAGGAGGCUACUGAGACUAAUACUCUUGGAUAGUGGACGUUACUCGCAGAAUAAGCACCGGCUAACUCUGUGCCAGCCGCCGCAGUAA
rnacentral:rRNA from 1 species